CAGCUCGCGUUGACUACGUCCCUGCCUUUGUACACACCGCCCGUCGCUCCUACCGAUUGAAUGGUCCGGUGAAGUGUUCGGAUCACGGCGACGUGGGCGGUUCGCUGCCCGCGACGUCGCAAGAAGUCCACUGAACCUUAUCAUUUAGAGGAAGGAGAAUUCGUAACAAGGUUUCCAUAGGUGAACCUGCGGAAGGAUCAUUG
rnacentral:ncRNA from 1 species